rnacentral:tRNA from 1 species
AAAAUCCCUCAACUUUAAAAAUCGGGGGGGUUUGGUUCAAGUCCCUCUAUCCCCAG